GUACCCUAGUGGUUAGAGUGUAGGGGCGGCAGGUACCCUAGUGGUUAGAGUGUAGGGGCGGCAGGUACCCUAGUGGUUAGAGUGUAGGGGCGGCAGGUACCCUAGUGGUUAGAGUGUAGGGACGGCAGGUACCCUAGUGGUUAGAGUGUAGGGGCGGCAGGUACCCUAGUGGUUAGAGUGUAGGGACGGCAGGUAGCCUAGUGGUUAGAGUGUAGGGGCGGCAGGUACCCUAGUGGUUAAAGUGUAGGGGCGGCAGGUACCCUAGUGGUUAGAGUGUAGGGGCGGCAGGUACCCUAGUGGUUAGAGUGUAGGGGCGGCAGGUACCCUAGUGGUUAGAGUGUAGGGGCGGCAGGUACCCUAGUGGUUAGAGUGUAGGGGCGGCAGGUA
ensembl:lncRNA